AAUGUUGCAAUCUUGCGAUUUAAGCCUUUCGCAAGAGAAGACAAAC
rnacentral:rRNA from 1 species